rnacentral:lncRNA from 1 species
UAUGAAUGAUACAUGAUAUUUUUUAGGGUCUGGAAUGUAUAAACGAUUCAUAAUUAUGUUCUUCUAUAAUUAUUUGGUUUGUGGCAUUUAUUUUGGUUUAUUUAGAGACAAUUAUAUAUGUGAGUAAAAUUUAAUUUGAAACUGGAAAAUAUAAAAAAAUUUAUAUUGUAAAAUCAAAGUGUCAUAUAUAAAAAAUUUAUAAGCAAUCUUGAGUGAUUGUAAAAUAUAUUCAAAAAUUGGUGAAACUGUAUUAAAAAUUUCUGGGCUAUCCCUUAAUUUUGAUUACAAGACUUUUUGAGUACGUAAUUAACAUAAAUGUUGACAGAACAUUAAAUUUGGAAAUUUAAUUUUUUCCGGUUCAGUUUAAGGAAUAUGUCAUUCUUAAUGUAGACUU